rnacentral:rRNA from 1 species
AACGCUGGCGGCGCGCCUAACACAUGCAAGUCGAACGGGUGAGAGGAGCUUGCUCCUCAAGCUAGUGGCGGACGGGUGAGUAACACGUGAGCAACCUGCCUUUCAGUGGGGGACAACAGUUGGAAACGACUGCUAAUACCGCAUAACAUCAUCGAGUGGCAUCGCUUGGUGAUCAAAGAUUUAUUGCUGAAAGAUGGGCUCGCGUCUGAUUAGAUAGUUGGUGAGGUAACGGCCCACCAAGUCGACGAUCAGUAGCCGGACUGAGAGGUUGAACGGCCACAUUGGGACUGAGACACGGCCCAGACUCCUACGGGAGGCAGCAGUGGGGGAUAUUGGACAAUGGGGGAAACCCUGAUCCAGCGACGCUGCGUGAGGGAAGAAGGUUUUCGGAUUGUAAACCUCUGUUGACAGGGAAGAAAAUGACGGUACCUGUUUAGAAAGCCACGGCUAACUACGUGCCAGCAGCUGC